rnacentral:rRNA from 1 species
UACGUAGGGUGCGAGCGUUAAUCGGAAUUACUGGGCGUAAAGUGUGCGCAGGCGGCUUCGCAAGUCGAGUGUGAAAUCCCCGAGCUUAACUUGGGAAUUGCGCUCGAAACUACGGAGCUGGAGUGUGGCAGAGGAAGGUGGAAUUCCACGUGUAGCGGUGAAAUUCGUAGAUAUUGGGAAGAACACCGAUGGCGAAGGCAGCCAUCUGGACCGACACUGACGCUGAGGCGCGAAAGCGUGGGGAGCAAACAGG